rnacentral:rRNA from 1 species
AACCGGGAAGAGCUCAAAUUUGAAAUCUGGCGUGCUCAGUGCGUCCGAGUUGUAAUCUAUAGAGUCGUUUUCCGUGCCGGACUGUGUCCAAGUCCCUUGGAACAGGGUAUCAAAGAGGGUGAUAAUCCCGUACUUGACACAAUGACCGGUGCUCUGUGAUACGUCUUCUACGAGUCGAGUUGUUUGGGAAUGCAGCUCAAAAUGGGUGGUGAGUUCCAUCUAAAGCUAAAUAUUGGCGAGAGACCGAUAGCGAACAAGUACCGUGAGGGAAAGAUGAAAAGCACUUUGGAAAGAGAGUUAAACAGUACGUGAAAUUGUUAAAAGGGAAACGAUUGAAGUCAGUCGUGACUGAGAGGCUCAGCCGGUUCUGCCGGUGUAUUCCCCUCAGUCGGGUCAACAUCAGUUUUGUUCGGUGGAUAAGGGCGGUUGGAAGGUGGCACCCUCGGGUGUGUUAUAGCCAACUGUCGCAUACAUCGGAUGAGACUGAGGAAUGCAGCUCGCCUUUAUGGCCGGGGUUCGCCCACGUUCGAGCUUAGGAUGUUGACAUAAUGGCUUUAAACGACCCGUCUUGAACCACGGACC